GACUCUGGGGGCUCCCGGAGCCAGCACGGGGCGACACACCAGCGCACCAAGGCCCAGGUGAAUGGGCGGCCCGGCGGCACACGUGCAGGAAGCUGUCAGCCUUGAGGGAGAAGACUUACCGGUCUAGGGACCAGCAGGUGGCCUCAUGGUUACAUCCCUGGACUCCCACAUGGUUGGCCACUGUUCCAUUCUGGUAACCACUGGACUUGGCAGCUUGAAACACACUGGCAGGCUGCACAGCAGGUGACCCCCACGAGCCACGUCAGGGAGGACGUUUCAGACCUGCAGAGCACCUGAACCAGGCUUGCACAGGAGCGGGAAGGCCCAGACACACACCUGGCUUCAGACUCCGAGUGGUGCCCGUUAGCGCCCGAGGCUUGAGCACGAGGGGCCUGCCUUCACGGGAACCCUAAGGAGAAGUGAGUGCCGGCCUGGUUGUCAGGCCAGUGUGAGGAGACCUACAGGACCUCAGGAAGGGACGGGGGUGAUGGAGCCAUGUCCACUGCCGUGACCCAGGAGGGGCACGUCUGUUGAGUCUGGGAGGGGCUCCCUUGAGCACCCCGCGUGUCCGACUGAGCGCUAACGUCUGCACACGUCACAGGGCUCGGCACAAAGAUGUGUGACAGGUGAGUGACAAGUGUGAAGGACAGAUGGAGGCGUCCUGAAGAGUCGGGCCAAGGCAGGGCAGCCGGACCCCACACGGCCGCCGCGUGGCUCAAGUUCCGUUGGCAGAGUCUUGAUAGGCACGUGUGUGCGUGCGUGCCCACGGCCCCGAGGAGAGGGGUUGUGGUGUGGCCGUCCCCAGGGGCUGGGGCUUUCUUGCUCUCCUCCUCUCCAGUGAGCUCAUGUGCUCUAGAGCAGAGGGAAAAUCAUGCAGAAGGACCAGUCUCACUGCCCAGUGCUUAAGGGAGUCAGAGCCCACAUGGCCGACCACAGAUCAAGCCCGGGUCCCGGUCCCAGCGGCUUGAAAAACGCAGAGCCACGCGUGUGUGUGCCCAAAGCCCUGACAGGAUGGAGAGACGGGGAAGGCACUGGUGUGACCACGCCCCGUGGGGGGGGCUUUCCCUUUUCUGUUUCCACGUCUCUCUGGCAAGGGACAGCUCCCCUUGACAAUUAAACAAAAGCCCGGCAGGAGAGAGAAGUAGUACGGCCGGGCCUCGCUGUGAAGGGGCACAAGGUGAAAUACGAAGCCCCGGCCUGGCCGGACAGCACCACGCGGAGCUGAAUGGGGAACUGGACCGCGACGGCCACAGGUGCCGGCACGUGUCCGCAGGAGCGAGGGCGGCAACGCUCUGCCUGUGCCACGGUAGAUGGUGCCUAAAGCUGGUAAACCACGACGUGGCAAAUACAGCAGCCGAAGUGAGCAUGCUGCCUCGGAGCGGGAGAUGCGACGCAACUUUAUAGAAUCCCUGGAAGUGAAGCGCACCACGGGUUUCUUAAUUUGCUGGAGGGCACAUGCACUCACCAGAGAGAGAACAUGGGGACACGAGCUGCAGGUCCAGACCAUGUGGGAGUCAGCACCGUCCCCGCCACGCCACCUAAUGCCCCGGCACUCAGACCUUAAUCAGAACCUCGCCCAGCUGGAGAAGACGGAACACACACUUGAACGGCUGACUUCCUGGGGUGCAGACUUUAAGAAACAAGCUGGCGUAAUGGCUAUGUCGCUGGACUUCCACAUAGUCGACC